CCGGAUGCAACUGUCAUGGCUGCUCCCAGUGAAGAGUCCCGCCUCCAGUGAAGAGUCCCGCCUCCCGACCCCCGGGGAGAUCGAGUCUGGGAUUUCCCAGAUGGCGCUCUGAGCGUGGGCUUCAAGAAAGGGGAUCCAGACCUGAAGGCUGAGACUUCCGGGCGGCAGGGUGCCCACAAACAGUUCCAGGAACUGUACACGCUUCCUACUAACUUGCCAGGUUUUUCUGGAGAAGUCGCCUCUCUUGGCAGGGUGGGACUUCCCACCCAGCCCAUCUUCGUAUGCUAAAAUUUUGUUCUCGUCACUCUGCAGUCUGUAGCUGGGCUGGCAGUGCGACAGUAUCCUGGGAGGAAGGGAAGGCCAAAGGCUCCAACGGAGAGAGAUUUUCACUUAAACUCCCAGAAUUGAAGAGCCGACCUAAAAAAAGCUUAAAGGAGAGGGGAGUGUGGGCCUUUACCUCCUUUUCUGAACAUCUCAUUAUUUGAACAGAAAAUAACAACAUUAGAACGCACCUGAUUUAUUUUUACAAUUACAUACCAUAUGCAAAGCACUAAGUUGGUAAUGGAUGAAAAAGUGCCUUAAUAUAUUUGGUAGAAGAAGAAUGAAGACAGAACACAGACCUGGAAUCUGUUUACUCUGCUUUGUGAAUUGGAACAAGUGAUUUAAACUCUGAAUUUAAUUUUCCUCGUAUG